CCCUUAGAUGUCCUGGGCUGCACGCGCGCUACACUGAUGUGUUCAAUAAGCACCUAACCUACUCCGAAGGGACUGGGUAACCUUUGCAAAGCACAUCGUGAUGGGGAUAGAUUAUUGCAAUUAUUAGUCUUGAACGAGGAAUUCCUAGUAAGCGCAAGUCAUCAGCUUGUGUUGAUUACGUCCCUGCCCUUUGUACACACCGCCCGUCGCCCCUACCGAUUGAGUGAUCCGGUGAAUACUUCGGAGUGUGAACUCUACAGUUUCUGUUUUGUUCGCGCAAAGUUGAAUAAACCUUAUCACUUAGAGGAAGGAGAAGUCGUAACA
rnacentral:rRNA from 1 species